GCCUUCGUGGUGUAAGGGUCAGCACACUGAGCCGGUAUUUCAGAGGUCCGCGGUUCGAUUCCCGGCGAAGGCG
rfam:Stegodyphus mimosarum contig4008, whole genome shotgun sequence.